GUUUAUUGACAAUAUUUUGGGGCUGUUUUAUGUAAUUUUCGUGGCUGUUUUAUGACAAAAUUUUGGAGCUGCUUUAUGUAAUUUUCGUGGUUAUUUUGUGACUAUAUUUUGGAGCUAUUUGGUAUAACAUUUGUGGCUGUUUUGCGAUGAUAUUUUGGGGAUUGUUUUAUGGUCGUUAUGGACUGUUUUGUGGGCUGGAAUAUCGGGGGAUUGGCUGUAGUUGUUGUUGUUAUAUUAUGAAUAUACGGAAAUAAAGAAGUGUAUACAAGCAUUGGCAUCCGAAUGUAUAUUGGGCUGUUUUGGGAGUAAUUUAAGAAUGGAUUUAAGUCUAGUUUGAUAUGAAAUUGUUGGUGUUGUUGUUGUUGGUAUUUUGAUUGACGUUUGGCUAAGUUGGAAUUUUGAGGAUUGUUAAGUUUACAGGGGAAAUGCUGCCCAAUUUUCUCUAGAAUUUACGACGCGUUCUUAUAAUCUAUUAACUAAUGUUAAUAUGAAUUCUCCCGUGAAGGUAACAACGUGACAUUGGGGAGAGCAAGUGAACGAUAACAUAGCUAAACGACAAAGGUAGACAGGGAGGUGAGCUUGGUCCAGACCCUUAGUAGCUGUCAGCUGAUUGAGAGCACUCCAUUGUCCGGAGGUGCUUAUGAUUCUUCUUUUGGUAUAUAUGCAUAUUUUGGGCACGACGGAGUCUUGUUCCGUCUAUAUGUUUAGUAUGUCAGUAGAGGCUCGUAGAUACGCAGUGUGGGUCAGAUGGUCUCACAAUAUGUUAUUAUUAUGUAUAUAUUAUUUUGA